AGCCACGGCUAACUACGUGCCAGCAGCCGCGGUAAUACGUAGGUGGCGAGCGUUAUCCGGAUUUAUUGGGCGUAAAGCGUGCGCAGACGGUUUACUAAGUCUAAAAUUAAAGCCCGAAGCUUAACUUCGGUUCGUUUUAGAAACUGGUAGGCUUGAGUAUGGUAGAGGCAAAUGGAAUUUCUAGUGUAGCGGUAAAAUGCGUAGAUAUUAGGAGGAACAUCAGUGGCGAAGGCGAUUUGCUGGGCCAUUACUGACGUUCAUGCACGAAAGCGUGGGGAGCAAAUAGGAUUAGAUACCCUAGUAGUCCACGCCGUAAACGAUGAGUACUAAGUGUCGGGUAACCGGUGCUGAAGUUAACACAUUAAGUACUCCGCCUGAGUAGUACGGUCGCAAGACUGAAACUCAAAGGAAUUGACGGGCACCCGCACAAGCGGUGGAGCAUGCUGUUUAAUUCGAAAAUACGCGAAGAACCUUACCUAGAUUUGACAUCCCCGGCAAUGCUAUGGAAACAUAGCGGAGGUUACCCGGGAGACAGGUGGUGCAUGGUUGUCGUCAGCUCGUGUCGUGAGAUGUUUGGUUAAGUCCAACAACGAGCGCAACCCUUAUUUUUAGUUGCUAACAUUUAGUUGAGAACUCUAAAAAUACUGCCAGUGUAAGCUGGAGGAAGGUGGGGAUGAGGUCAAAUCAUCAUGCCCCUUACAUCUAGGGCUACAGGCGUGCUACAAUGGCCGAUACAACGAGUCGCAACACGGUGACGUGAAGCUAAUCUCUUAAAGUCGGUCCCAGUCCGGAUUGGAGUCUGCAAUUCGACUCCAUGAAGUCGGAAUCGCUAGUAAUCCCGAAUCAGAAUGUCGGGGUGAAUACGUUCCCGGGUGUUGUACACACCGCCCGUCACGCCAUGGGAGUCUGUAAUACCUGAAGUCGGUAGCCUAACCUUUAUUGGAGGGGGCCGCCCAGGGUAGGACAGGUGACUGGGGUGAAGUCGUAACAAGGUAUCCCUACGGGAACGUGGGGAUG
rnacentral:rRNA from 1 species